rnacentral:rRNA from 1 species
CUUGACACUGAACAUUGAGCCUUGAUGUGUAGGAUAGGUGGGAGGCUUUGAAGCGUGGACGCCAGUCUGCGUGGAGCCAACCUUGAAAUACCACCCUUUAAUGUUUGAUGUUCUAACGUUGGCCCCUAAUCGGGGUUGCGGACAGUGUCUGGUGGGUAGUUUGACUGGGGCGGUCUCCUCCCAAAGAGUAACGGAGGAGCACGAAGGUUAGCUAAUCCUGGUCGGACAUCAGGAGGUUAGUGCAAUGGCAUAAGC